rnacentral:sRNA from 1 species
UUCCUGCUCAAAAGAAGCAGUAGGUUGA